rnacentral:rRNA from 1 species
AGAGUUUGAUCCUGGCUCAGAACGAACGCUGGCGGCAGGCUUAACACAUGCAAGUCGAACGCUCGUAGCAAUACGGGAGUGGCAGACGGGUGAGUAACGCGUGGGAACAUACCCUCCGGUUCGGAAUAGCUCAGGGAAACUUGGAUUAAUACCGGAUACGGCUGAGAGGCGAAAGAUUUAUCGCCGGAGGAUUGGCCCGCGUUCGAUUAGCUAGUUGGUGAGGUAACGGCUCACCAAGGCGAUGAUCGAUAGCUGGUCUGAGAGGAUGAUCAGCCACAUUGGGACUGAGACACGGCCCAAACUCCUACGGGAGGCAGCAGUGGGGAAUAUUGGACAAUGGGCGCAAGCCUGAUCCAGCCAUGCCGCGUGAGUGAUGACGGCCUUAGGGUUGUAAAGCUCUUUCGCUCGGGACGAUAAUGACGGUACCGAGAUAAGAAGCCCCGGCUAACUUCGUGCCAGCAGCCGCGGUAAUACGAAGGGGGCUAGCGUUGUUCGGAAUUACUGGGCGUAAAGCGCGUGUAGGCGGGUCUUUAAGUCAGGGGUGAAAUGCCAAGGCUCAACCUUGGAACUGCCUUUGAUACUGGAGACCUUGAGUCCGGGAGAGGUGAGUGGAAUUGCGAGUGUAGAGGUGAAAUUCGUAGAUAUUCGCAAGAACACCAGUGGCGAAGGCGGCUCACUGGCCCGGAACUGACGCUGAGACGCGAAAGCGUGGGGAGCAAACAGGAUUAGAUACCCCUGUAGUCC